UUCAACCUUGUUGUGGAUUUCUGCCAUCUUUUUGGCGAGAUCCAUUGCUCCUGCAGCUUGUCCUUGGAGAAUCUGCUGUAACAUGUUCUUCAAGUCUGAAUCUGGAGUUGUUGAAGCUGGUUGUUGUUGCUGCUGUGUGAACCCAGGUGGUGGAAGUUGCUGCUGAUAGUUGCCCUGAUACUGCUGCUUAGGAACAUACCCUUGACCUUGGUUGUAUGGAACAAAGGUCUUGGGUUGAUUCUGCUGCUGUGAAGGGUAGACUUGGUCCUGCGGGUUUGCAACGUUCGGGAUGGUUCUGCUUGAAGUUGUUGAAACCUUUGUUGUAACCUCCUUGGUUCUGCACAUAGCUGACCUCUUCUGACUGCAGAGUCUCCCCAUCCUGAACUUGGAACGUCUCAUCAUCACCCAGAAAAUGAAUGUGCUUCUGUUGCACAAGGAGUAGCUUGUCCAGUUUGUCAUUCAUGGCUUUCAUUUCCCUGCGGUGCUUCUCAUCAGAAUCAGAGCUGGUGCGGAUGCUUCUGUCAUAAUCUUCAUUAUAGUUGCCAUCCGACUGAGCCAAGUUCUCUACCAGCUCCCAUCCGUCUUCAACAUCUUUAUUGAGGAAGUUCCCGUUAGAAGCGGUAUCUAGAAGCAUCCUGAUCUUUGGAAGGACACGUCUGUAGAGAGUGCUGAGAAGUGAAGCUUUGGAGAAACCAUGAUGAGGACAUUGCGUCUGAUAACCCUUGAAGCACUCCCAUGCUUCACAGAAAGUCUCAUUAUUCGUCUGAGUGAAACCAGAGAUAUCAUUUCGUAGUCUCGCAGUCCUGGAGUUUGAGAAAAACUUAGCUAAGAAGGCUUUCUUGCAGUCAUUCCAUGAGGUGAUAGAGCCUUGAGGAAGUGACUUUUCCCACUGAUGUGCUUUGUCUCCAAGAGAGAAUGGAAACAAUCUGAGCUUGAAGCCAUCCUCACUGACUCCAUUGAUCUUUGUUAGGCUGCAGAGCCUAUCAAACUCGUCCAGGUGAUCGAGUGGAUCCUCCAUAGGGAGGCCGUGGAACUUGUUGCUCUGAACCAUGGCAAUGAGACCGCUCUUGAUCUCAAAGUUGUUGUUCUGCACAGGUGGAGGCACGAUGCCAUUACGCUGAUUGUGGUUGCGUGGUGCAUCGCCUGCACCUAUGUUGUUUGGUUGCACCUGCUCAUCAACAACUGCAGCCAUUGUGUCUGUUUCUGUCUGUGUUCUGAGUCGGCGUGCAAUACGGUCGAUGUUAUCGUUGAACAGGAGAUUCUGAUUUCCUCGUGACCGUGUUUGCAUACAACGAGUACCAAUUGUUGAAGCUAGUGAUUCGUAGUACCUGAAUCAAAACAGACAAACAGAACAAACACAAAGUUAGUAACUUUCAGAAAAAUUGAAAAAGAACUUGAUCUUAAGUAUUCUAAAAUCUCAAAUAUAGCAAACAAACACCCAAUUGGCAACGGCGCCAAAUUGAUAAUAUGUUUUUAUGCAAUUAUCCUAAAACACCAAUCAUGUCAUUGUAGUAUUUUAGGUGUCAAUCCAAAUGGGUGUGAUGCAAACAGAUGAGAUGUGAUCAGAAGUCACUAAGUCAAGCCAAGCAAUAACAGUUUUGGGGUUUCUAACAGUCCUAAGCGAACAUGCAGAAAACAGAAGCAAUAACAGAAUUACUAAAAUCACUCGACAACAACAGGCUGAUGCCAGAAGUAGGAUGUGGUCGAGUAACAGGUCGAGUAACAGACAAGAUAUGAAACAGCUAUACUCGACUGCACAGUCUGUUGCCAGACACUGGAUGUGGUCGAGUAUACUGGUCGAGUAAUAGAUAGGAAACAAGACAAUCUUACUCGACUACACAGUCUGUUGCCAGACACUGGGUGUGGUCGAGUAAGUUGGUCGAGUGAUUGUAAAAACUAAGAAACAGGCAAUGAGAACGAUUAAGCGAUAACGAUAAAACAGAGAAAUAAGAUAGACGAGAAAUUCCUAAGGAUGGGGUAAUCGAGUAGAGUGGUAUCCUAGCCUAUUCGAAUGGUUAACAAGCGCAAUCAAGCUAUCCCUAGACAACAGGUUCAACAACAGAUCAAUUCACUCCCGUGAUAGAAAUCUUCAAGCAAAGCUAGCCCAGACUAAUUCCCAUUAACGGAAUCUAACUAUGCAGGCAAUAAGAACAGACUGAUAAAGUCAAUAAACGCUCUAAACGGCUAAUCCCUUGGGAUAGAGACGCAUAUCUCAGGAACUAGUGGAUCAAGCAUUUCAUCGAACACCUUCUGGGUGCGGGAAUGCUUGGGAUCGAAUUCCAGUUGAUCAGAAAGAAAUAAGCAGUAAACGCAACUAGUCCUAAAGGGAUUCAAUCAAUUCUAAAGCUUAACCAUUCUACAGACUACGGAUUCCACAACUACUCUAUCCCAUCCCUAAGAAUUCUAAGUCACUACUGAGACAACAUGUUGACAGAUAUAAACACAGAUAAACGAUAAUAUUGCAUAAGUAAAGAGAUAAAGAGUAGAGAAACAAGAUGACUAAUGAAAUCAAACGCGGAAUCUCAAUAACUUGGAAAAAUCGCGAACUACAGGUUGCAGAAGCAAAAGCGGCGUAGCAGAGUAAAACUGAAAAUAAAACUGAAGCAAAAACGCAAUGUCGACUAGAUGUUUCAGGACAGAACCCUAAAACAUCUAUUUAUACCAAACGAAAUAAAAUGAUAGUAGACGGGCCAAUAACCUAAUCGCCCGGCCCAUAGAGUGAUAAUGGGCCGAGAUGGGCUUCGUGAUCCGAUGGAGGUCCAGGCCGCUUCCAAACACUUUGUCUUCUCUUCUUUUCUUCCUUGUGCUCAGCUUGUCUGGUUGAGUGCGGAUUUGAGUGGACUGUGAAGACGUGAUCGAGUGUCCGGUCGAGUGAUGGUGAUGG
rnacentral:sRNA from 1 species